UGCCAACUUUUAGACUAAUUCCUAUAUUUAGACAUUUAUAUGUGCUAUGUAAUAAUGAGCAGCUGAUCAUUAUUUUAACUUUUAAACAAUAUUUUAAAAAUCUUUUUAACUGCUUGGCACUUGUUUAAUUUGCAGCUUAAAUCCACUUGUCAGCAAAUGUAUGAAUUUGCGAUUAACUUUUACCUGUUUAAAAUAAAACCCAGUGUAUUAAUUCCUUUGAAAGAACAGUAAAUCAAUUACUUGUAUGUAUGUUGCAUUGAAGUGGGAGGUGAUGGGGAGAAGGAAUAGAUAAGGGCUAAUGACAAAUUGUGGUACAAGGUGGAAAUAACUGAGACUGAAAAUCAGAUCUGUUUUCUGUAACGUGUUUUCAUUCAGGGCUGACUUGCAUAAAGGCAAAAAACUGUUUUAGCUUCUGCUCUUUGUUUACUCUUGAGGAGGUGGAAGCUUUAUGUUGAGAAAAGGACACAGAAUUUGUUGUCUUCUUAUAACAUGUGGCUGAUUGCUGAUCUUAUGGAAAUGAUGUAUUGAGCAGAUGAGACCUGAUUAAUAAUAAAUAAAGAUGCUGAGAGUGAUUGGGGGGGGGUGGAAUUAAGCUUUUAUUUUAAUUCUUUUUAAACCCCCACAGAGUAAAGCCUCUUUAAGCUAGUCAGGUAAGCAUAGUCUGGAACCUGAGGAUUAUAUUACUCUGCUCCUUUGUGCCUUAGAGUUACUACAGCCUCCAUUCAACUUGAAUUCAAAAUGAGGUGAUGUGUGCUUGAUUCCCAGGUUGGAUUUAGCUGAAAAUAAUACUAGAAAUGUGCAAGACUUGUGGUAAAGCUGAGCAGCAGAAUAUAAACCUGCUAAAAACAGAUGCAGAUCUUUACAGCCCUCUGAGAGCGUGGUUGAAGAGUGGGUGAGCCUGUGAUGUUGAAUUUGCUGGUGGAGGGCUCUUGGCUCUGUUUGGUGAAUUGCUGUCUUACACCAAAUGUGCUUUUCCUCAAGGAGCAGAAGCAGGGGAGGAUGCUGCAAAGAAACUCUUGCUUACUGAACACCUCAGUGGGCUGUGAAAUAACGUCAGGCCCUAACGAACUUGAACCUGUUUCUCUGGGAGAGAAGGUCCUUCCAACCCAAACCACAUUGGGGAAAGGGAAUCUAGUCUUGAUUCCAAACAUUUGAUUAACCUUGACUGUGCAAAGUUCCUUUUUGGAGGACGGUCAGGUUGUCUGUCAGACCUGUGAGUGAAAGAGACAGUUUGUUACAAUCUCAGCACCCCUGUAGUGGAGAACAAAGGAUUUCUCUAACUUGGCAAAUCUGUAUCCUAGGUUUGACUGAAAUCCAGGAGCGUGUUCCUGAAGUCAAGUAGUUGUCCUAUGCUAAUGCUGCUCGGUGUUGGCUGCUUUGUAUGGUGUAAUCUAAAUAAUUUUGUAAUUAAUGCGUUACUGUGGUAAUCCCUUAAUGGUGAGAUAAUUGCAGCACUUAGAGGAGCAACUGUUGGCCAAAACACACAAUUAAGUUUUGGAUUGAGCAGCUUGAAUUUUGUGAAAAAUGGUUAUUUAUCCUCAAGUUCAUGAGUGCUUGAGUCCAAAGUACGUUUGACUCAGUCAAUCCCUCUUCACUGUCUGCACUGCAAACUCAGAGGGCUCUGUAGCUUGAUUCCCUCUGUCAGUGACUCUGGGAAGCCACGGAGUGCUGUAGAAAUGAGAAUUCUGCCAAUAUAAACUUUCCAUGGAAACAUUUAUCAGGAAAUUUAAUUGAAUGAGAAAAUAAGCUAACGGGCCAGCAUAGAUCAGCCUCCUCAUGUUGCCCUAAUGCUUCCUUUUCCCUGGCUAACCUGAUACUGAGGUGUUUGAGUACUCUGAUAAUGGAUGAGUGCAGAUAGAGCCCAGUCACCCUGCUCAGAGCAUACAUCUUCAGCUUCUCAGAAAUGUCAUCUUGUGAAAAACACAGGCUUUAUGUCUUCAGCUUUUUAGUGCAUGUUAAAUUUGCAUCACAAGUUACAAAGCUUUAGUGAAAGAUUUGCAGCAUUGCUGAACAAUCACCCGUAUAAUUGUCACCUUUUAUUUUUAAAAUAUGAUACCAGGAGUUAGGAACUUGAAGCAUUAAGUGCCUGUGAGCAGAAUGCACAGUUCACAGGAUUUCAGGGUACAUCAGUGAGUUUUCUUUGCUGUUGUACUUGCAGUAAAGCUAGGAAUGUUGGAAGUUUCAUUUACCUUGUUUUCUAAAUACUCAGGGUUCAGAACAUGUGUUGAGAUUUCUUUUUUAAUUGUAGAAGUUUUCAGUGGAAAUAAAUGUUCUAACUUACUGUAAUAUGUCUGCUACAAACACAGUGCUGCAUUUCUGUGCAGUUUCUUUCCAUCUACUUGUUCUGGCUGUAGCUUUCCGAAAACCUGUGGUUCUCAUAUUGAUACUCUCAAAUUCUAAAAUCUAAACUUGCGGAAAAAUGUUGCAAUGAUGGAAGAGCUGCAAAAUUUGAGCAGUGUUGUGAAAUCCAAGGCAAUCUGAUUUCUAAUGUGUUACUCUUGAAUAUUCAGAGUAUGCAAACAGGAGGAAGUUUUCUCUUACAAAGUUUGUGUCCUUUGGAGAGUGAGAGAUCUGAGACAAAUCUGUUGAUAUAAUGUUAUUGAAUUUCUACUAGACAGCUAUUAGUUAAGCUGUGUCACUUUUUUUGGGAGGACCACUGUGGUUUAAAAACAGAUUUCAAGUUGUUGAUUUGAAUUUUCUACUUUGCAUUGCUAUUUUUUGCCUGGAGAUGGAAGAAUGACUUGGAGGUGUGAGUAAAACACCACAUCUAGUGCUUUGGCAGUGGCAGGGAGGUCUCACUGCAGAGGUGGCUUUGUCAGUCAGUGUGAAUCUGUACUGAUGAGUAUUGUUAGACACCUCAGCGUUCAAUAAGGAAUGCUCAUCUCUGUUAAAUUUAAGCACCUUCCAGAUGACUUGGAUCUUAGUUUCUAGGUGAGGUUUAAUGAAGACACAUUCUGACUUACUGCUAGGAGUGUUGGCCUUUUAAAAAUGCGUGCUGCUAGCAGCUUCUGCUAAUUUUAGAUUGUGUGUUCUUGAAACGCUACUAGUAGCUACAUACUUAAUAACACUGAAAAUAAAGGGACUUUUCACUCCCCGGAAGAUGUGUAAGAAGCCAUGGUGGUAUGCAGCAGUUUUGUGUUGAAUUCAUCGUGGUUGAAGCUUAGGAGUUCUCAGCUGACUUGCCCUCAGGUUUCUGUUCAAUUUCAAGUAAUCGCCCAGGCUGUGCAAACUUCAGGCACUGUAGCUGUGCCAGCAUGUGUAUUAAAUGCAAGUCCUAAUCCUGUGGGACAAGGGUCAGCAUGUUGGAAAUGACCUUUGUGUUGCAUCCAGAUGAAAAUGUAGCUGGGAUUAAUCUAACAAGUGCAUUUCUCCUGGAAGUUGAACCACUUCACUGAAAGCUUAUUUCAGUUUGCAAUAAUUCACUGUUUGCCUAAGAGAAUUAGAACUUUCAUUUGUCAUGAACCAAGUGAAGAAUUAUAUAGCAGGUUGCUACUGGUUUAUGUCUGAAAAUAAUUUUGAAUAAUUCCUGCUUGGGCUCUGGCACUGUUGGUGUGAAACCUGGCUGAGAACAACCGUUGCCUGUGUUACUGCAGUUGCAGAACCUCCCAGCUUUGUUGGAGUGUUUACCAACACCUGGUGAUAAUCCCUAUUGUCUUACACUGAGAGGAAUAAAAGUUUUGGAAAGGACAUCCUUUUCCUAAUGGCAGGAGCUGAGGUGGCAAUGUUUGUCCUGGUUUAAAUGUGGUCUGGGUGAGCAGAGGGCUGGGUGCUCCUCAGGGCCUGUGAUAAUUUUCAUUAUUUGCCCUAUAAUUAAAGGUAGCUUUUUCCUCAAGUUACCUAGAAAGAAACACUAUUUGGAACUGGUUUUAUUCCUCUCUCUCUAGGACAACACAGGAUUAUCACCAGGUGUUUGUAAAUAGACAGUGUGUAUUGAACACUUAAAUCUGAUCAAGUGCUUGAUCCUGUAAUCGCGUGCAGUGAUUAUCUUUACAAACAAAUCAGCAGAAUACUAUUUUAUUUCCUAGAAAUACAUAGCAAGCAAGUAGGGCUGAUGCUUUGUUUGUCAGCAGGAAGUGUUUUCUGGUGGAAAUGUUUCAUUUGGCACUGGAAGUGUGGCUCGUUUUGGUUUGUUUGUGGGCUUAGCAGAUGGACAGGGCCGAGCAUUGAGCAGUAAGAGUUGUUUCUUUUCUGGCUGAGCUGUAACACUGCAGAAGUCCCCAGUCUCUGUCGUUUCAGACCAUAACUGAGUUGGACAUCUUCAGUUUGUUCAGAAAGCAGAGCUGUGAUCUGUGUGCUGAUCAGGGGCAGCAAUUGAUUUUCCUUGGCUGCUGGCUGCUACUCAGAGCUAAUUUUUAUUUCACUGGGUUUUGUGGAUCUGCAGAAUUCCUUCACUCUUGAGUCAUGUCUCAGAUUGAUUGGGACUGAGGCACUUGGAGAAGGUUUUGAGCAGAACAGUGGUACUUUUUAGGACUUGGUCAGAUGCUUACUUGGCUGUAGCUGUUGCAAGAUGAUAACUGCAAUAAUAAAUAUUGCAAAGAAAUUGGAUCUUAUUGCAUUCUCUGAGCAGUUAUGAGAAGGACUUAAUUAGAAUUCUGGGAAAGAGAUGAAGAUCAGUCUAUUGUGGCAGAACUGGGAGAAAAGCAUUUUGACUUUGGCCUAGUAACUGUGCAGUGAAAAGAAUUUAUAUUGAUUUUGAGCAACUGAAGUGAAAUAUAAAAAGUCACAAUACCAGGGGAGUCUGGUACUAUUGUAAUGAAUUGGGGCUUGGCUGGGUUUAUUUGUUUGUUUUGUUUGUGUUUUUUUUUUCAGAAAUGACAAAAUCAGGAUAAUAAUUAUUAAACCUUUGCUUAGGAGCAGUGAAAUUGCUGUGGAAGGAUCUCAGAUGCUUCUUUUUAAACAGUGAUAAAUACAGUAUAAGAACCCAGCCAAGGGGCUGAUACUCAACUCUGAAUUAGUGUUUUCAACUUAUGCUUAUAACUGAAAAAAGAGUACCACGUGAAUGUUAAAAGAUCAGCUGUUUGAUUUUUGAUCUGAAAUUCAGGCAGUAGCUGAAGUGAAAACAAGUGAAGGGACCCCAGCUUGCUGCCCAUGUGAUGGAACAGGGAGAAUCCCAGGCAGGAAGGAAAAAGGAGUAAACUAAAAACCAGACUUGAACCUCUAACAGCUGGAUAAGUAGAAACUGAAUAGAGGAACAAGACUGAAGAACUGAUUGAACUCUCUUUCCUCUGUGCAUCUAGGCAGUGCACACCUGAUUUCUGCAACUUGCUUCUUUGGAAAGGAUGUUAUUUGCUGCAAAGGAACUGGAAGAGGAUGGCAUUUCGAAUAUAGGUAGUUAGAAAAAUAGCAAAAUGAAACUUUUGGCUGGCAGAACUCAGAGUGCUGUGGUUUCACUGUUCCUGAACAUGGAAUCAUUAAGGUUGGAAAAGGCCUCCAGGAUCAUCAAGUGUAGCCUUUGGCCAGUCACCACCUUGUCAAGCAGACCAGAACACUGAGUGCCCCAUCCUGAGACAAUCCUGCAGUGAUGUUAAUCUGAGCUUCUUUUCAGAAACAUUUUCUAUGGAGAACAUCUGAAAAUAUAGUGGCAACAGUUAAGAGCCACUUAAUGUCUGCAGAUGUAUUUGAAUGUUAAAUUAGGGGCUAAUAAUGAAAAUGUGAUGUGACAGAAAGUUUGUCAUUAAUGAUGAAUAAACUUCAUAUGUAUAACACAAAAA